rnacentral:lncRNA from 1 species
CUUCGGCCCGGGACGGACCAUCGGCCGCCCUGUCGGGGGAGUCCGGACGCACAAAGUUUCCAAAAAGUUCUGCCAGUCGCUGCCGCACCCCACUCGGGGCAGAGCUUAACUUAGCAAAGCAUGGCUCUUCUUCCUGAAUGGACCCAAGCAGACUGUUGCUUGACUUAUUACUGAAGCUGCACAUCACCCAGAAGCAAGAAUUCAUCACUAAAGGGAGCGCCACAUACUUCAAGAAGUAGUUAAACCUGCCUUACCCUCCUCCAACCCUCCAGCACUUGUCAGGUGCUCUGCCUAGUGCCUAGCUCAGAGGAUGCUAAGUGGAGCAACACAAUGGACAGACUUAUUGACAGUAGCACAGUGUGAUGAGAAUGGUAAGAAGAAGAGAUAUUUAGGAAGACAGAUCUUCAAAUAUGUGGCGCUUUGGGAGUCAUGAUGAUGAGUGUGCAGUAUGUGAACCAGGAAUGGCUUCUUCAGUGUGUCCUUUAGCUCCCAGUGGCUGCCUCUCGCCCUAGAUUCCAAACUCGGUGUUACCAGUAUGCAGUCUCAUUGCUUCCUUAUGGCAGGACACAGAGUAAUUAAAUACAUGUUUUCAUAUUAUAUUUCCUUAUUAUAUUCUACUUUUUUUUUUACCACAGUGUACAUUAUUUUUAUCUUUACUAGAUCAAAAAAGUCAUACCUUCUUUAAAAAUAAAAUGUGAUGGUGAC